rnacentral:rRNA from 1 species
AUUGAACGCUGGCGGCAUGCCUUACACAUGCAAGUCGAACGGCAGCACGGGUGCUUGCACCUGGUGGCGAGUGGCGAACGGGUGAGUAAUACAUCGGAACGUACCUUAUCGUGGGGGAUAACGCAGCGAAAGUUGCGCUAAUACCGCAUACGCCCUGAGGGGGAAAGCGGGGGACUGUAAGGCCUCGCGCGAUUAGAGCGGCCGAUGUCUGAUUAGCUUGUUGGUGAGGUAAAAGCUCACCAAGGCGAUGAUCAGUAGCUGGUCUGAGAGGACGAUCAGCCACACUGGGACUGAGACACGGCCCAGACUCCUACGGGAGGCAGCAGUGGGGAAUUUUGGACAAUGGGGGCAACCCUGAUCCAGCAAUGCCGCGAGAGUGAAGAAGGCCUUCGGGUUGUAAAGCUCUUUUGUCAGGGAAGAAACAGCAGCUCUAACACAGUCUGCGAAUGACGGUACCUGAAGAAUAAGCACCGGCCAACUACGUGCCAGCCGCCGCGGUAA